rnacentral:rRNA from 1 species
UACGAAGGGGGCGAACGUUGUUCGGAAUUACUGGGCGUAAGGGCGCGUAGGCGGCCGAUCAAGUCAGAUGUGAAAGUCCUGGGCUUAACCUGGGGACUGCAUUUGAUACUGAUCGGCUUGAAUGCAGGAGAGGAUAGCGGAAUUCCCAGUGUAGAGGUGAAAUUCGUAGAUAUUGGGAAGAACACCGGUGGCGAAGGCGGCUAUCUGGACUGUGAUUGACGCUGAGGCGCGAAAG